CAGCCGCCGCGGUAAUACGGAGGGUGCAAGCGUUAUCCGGAUUCACUGGGUUUAAAGGGUGCGCAGGCGGAUUUGUAAGUCAGAGGUGAAAUCUGUAGGCUUAACCUACAAACUGCCUUUGAUACUAUAGAUCUUGAAUGUCGCUGAGGUCAGCGGGAUAUAACAUGUAGCGGUGAAAUGCAUAGAUAUGUUAUAGAACACCGAUUGCGAAGGCAGCUGACUAAAGGACGAUUGACGCUGAGGCACGAAAGCGUGGGUAGCGAACAGGAUUAGAUACCCCCGUAGUCCCUGUCUCUUAUAU
rnacentral:rRNA from 1 species